rnacentral:rRNA from 1 species
UGGGGAAUCUUGCGCAAUGGGCGAAAGCCUGACGCAGCGACGCCGCGUGGGGGAUGAAGCUUUUCGGAGUGUAAACCCCUUUCGACUGGGAAGAAUGCCCGCAAGGGAGCGACGGUACCAGUAGAAGAAGCCCCGGCUAACUACGUGCCAGCAGCCGCGGUAAGACGUAGGGGGCCAGCGUUGUUCGGAAUUACUGGGUGUAAAGGGUUCGUAGGCGGUGCGGCAAGUUGGGAGUGAAAUCUCUGGGCUUAACCCAGAGGCUGCUUCCAGAACUGAUGUGCUUGAGUGUGAGAGAGGCUCGUGGAAUUGCAGGUGUAGCGGUGAAAUGCGUAGAUAUCUGCAGGAACACCCGUGGCGAAAGCGGCGAGCUGGAUCACAACUGACGCUGAGGAACGAAAGCUAGGGGAGCAAACAGG